rnacentral:rRNA from 1 species
AAGUCGAGCGGUAGAGAGAAGCUUGCUUCUCUUGAGAGCGGCGGACGGGUGAGUAAUACCUAGGAAUCUGCCUGAUAGUGGGGGAUAACGUUCGGAAACGGACGCUAAUACCGCAUACGUCCUACGGGAGAAAGCAGGGGACCUUCGGGCCUUGCGCUAUCAGAUGAGCCUAGGUCGGAUUAGCUAGUUGGUGAGGUAAUGGCUCACCAAGGCUACGAUCCGUAACUGGUCUGAGAGGAUGAUCAGUCACACUGGAACUGAGACACGGUCCAGACUCCUACGGGAGGCAGCAGUGGGGAAUAUUGGACAAUGGGCGAAAGCCUGAUCCAGCCAUGCCGCGUGUGUGAAGAAGGUCUUCGGAUUGUAAAGCACUUUAAGUUGGGAGGAAGGACAUUAACCUAAUACGUUGGUGUCUUGACGUUACCGACAGAAUAAGCACCGGCUAACUCUGUGCCAGCAGCCGCGGUAAUACAGAGGGUGCAAGCGUUAAUCGGAAUUACUGGGCGUAAAGCGCGCGUAGGUGGUUUGUUAAGUUGAAUGUGAAAUCCCCGGGCUCAACCUGGGAACUGCAUCCAAAACUGGCAAGCUAGAGUAUGGUAGAGGGUAGUGGAAUUUCCUGUGUAGCGGUGAAAUGCGUAGAUAUAGGAAGGAACACCAGUGGCGAAGGCGACUACCUGGACUGAUACUGACACUGAGGUGCGAAAGCGUGGGGAGCAACAGGAUUAGAUACCCUGGUAGUCCACGCCGUAAACGAUGUCAACUAGCCGUUGGGAGUCUUGAACUCUUANUGGCGCANCUAACGCAUAAGUUGACCCCUGGGGAGUACGNCNCAAGGUUAAACUCAAUGANUGACGGGGNCCNCCANCGGUGGACAUGGGUUUA